rnacentral:rRNA from 1 species
GUGGGGAAUAUUGGACAAUGGGCGCAAGCCUGAUUCAGCAAUGCCGCGUGGGUGAAGAAGGCCUUCGGGUUGUAAAGCCCUUUUGUACGGAAAGAAAUCCUGGUGGUUAAUACCCGCCGGGGAUGACGGUACCGUAAGAAUAAGCACCGGCUAACUUCGUGCCAGCAGCCGCGGUAAUACGAAGGGUGCAAGCGUUAAUCGGAAUUACUGGGCGUAAAGCGUGCGUAGGUGGUUUCUUAAGUCUGUCGUGAAAGCCCUGGGCUCAACCUGGGAAUGGCGAUGGAUACUGGGAGGCUAGAGUGCGGUAGAGGAUGGCGGAAUUCCCGGUGUAGCGGUGAAAUGCGUAGAGAUCGGGAGGAACAUCUGUGGCGAAGGCGGCCAUCUGGACCAGCACUGACACUGAGGCACGAAAGCGUGGGGAGCAAACAGGAUUAGAUACCCUUGUAGUCC